GUCUCGGUGGUGUAGUGGCAGCACGCGUCCUUGGUGUGGAUGGAACGCGGGUCCAAUUCCCGUCUGAGAUC